UGCAUAUCAAUAAGCGGAGGAAAAGAAACUAACAAGGAUUCCCCUAGUAGCGGCGAGCGAAGCGGGAAGAGCUCAAAUUUAUAAUCUGGCACCUUCGGUGUCCGAGUUGUAAUCUCUAGAAGUGUUUUCCGCGUUGGACCGCACACAAGUCUGUUGGAAUACAGCGGCAUAGUGGUGAAACCCCCGUAUAUGGUGCGGACGCCCAGCGCUUUGUGAUACACUUUCAAUGAGUCGAGUUGUUUGGGAAUGCAGCUCAAAUUGGGUGGUAAAUUCCAUCUAAAGCUAAAUAUUGGCGAGAGACCGAUAGCGAACAAGUACCGUGAGGGAAAGAUGAAAAGCACUUUGGAAAGAGAGUUAACAGUACGUGAAAUUGUUGGAAGGGAAACGCUUGAAGUCAGACUUGCUUGCCGGAGCUUGCUUCGGUUUGCAGGCCAGCAUCAGUUUUCCGGGGUGGAUAAUGACGGUUUGAAGGUAGCAGUCUCGGCUGUGUUAUAGCUUUCCGUUGGAUACAUCCUGGGGGACUGAGGAACGCAGCGUGCUUUUUGCGAAAGACUCG
rnacentral:rRNA from 2 species